rnacentral:rRNA from 1 species
UGUAAGCGUCUACCCAAGUUGUUGCAGUUAAAACGCUCGUAGUCGGAAUUUGGCAGUUCCGGAAGUGUGCACGUCGUGUGCGCACUUUGCGGGGACUGCUUUUGUGGUCUUGCGUAGGAUGAGGCACUUUCAUUAGUGAACGUCCUCACGCAACCACUCUUUACUGUGAGAAAAUCAGAGUGCUCAAAGCAGGCAUUUGCCGUGAAUGUAUUAGCAUGGAAUAAUAGAAUAGGACUCGGUUCUAUUUUGUUGGUUUGUUGGGACUGAGUAAUGAUUAAGAGGGACAGUUGGGGGCAUUUGUAUUCCGGCGCUAGAGGUGAAAUUCUUAGAUUGCCGGAAGACAAACUGCUGCGAAAGCGUCUGCCAAGGAUGUUUUCAUUGA